rnacentral:rRNA from 1 species
UACGAAGGGGGCUAGCGUUGCUCGGAAUGACUGGGCGUAAAGAGCUCGUAGGCGGUUUGUCGCGUCUGGCUGAUGAAAACUCGGGGCUUAACCCCGGGCCUGCAGUGGGUACGGGCAGACUAGAGUGCGGUAGGGGAGACUGGAAUUCCUGGUGUAGCGGUGAAAUGCGCAGAUAUCAAGGAGGAACACCGGUGGCGGAAAGGCGGGGUCUCUGGGCCGAUACUGACGUGAGGAGCGAAAGCGUGGGGAGCGAACAGG